rnacentral:rRNA from 1 species
UCGACUAAGCCAUGCGAGUCGAGAGGGUUCGGCCCUCGGCUGACGGCUCAGUAACACGUGGAUAAUCUGCCCUUAGGUGGAGGAUAAUCUCGGGAAACUGAGGAUAAUACUCCAUAGAUCUAGGAUGUUGGAAUGCAUCUAGAUUGAAAGCUCCGGCGCCUAAGGAUGAGUCUGCGGACUAUCAGGUUGUAGUCAGGGUAAAGACCUGACUAGCCUACGACGGAUACGGGUUGUGAGAGCAAUAACCCGGAGACGAUAUCUGAGACACGAUAUCGGGCCCUACGGGGCGCAGCAGGCGCGAAAACUUCACACUGUGCGAAAGCGCGAUGAGGGAAUCCCAAGUGUUUGCUCGUAAGAGUAAACUGUUUCUUUGUUUAAAACGCAGAGAGAGUAAGGGCUGGGUAAGACGGGUGCCAGCCGCCGCGGUAAUACCUGCAGCUCGAGUGGUGAUCAUUAUUAUUGGGCCUAAAACGUCCGUAGCCGGUUUAGUAAAUGCCUGGGUAAAUCGUGUAGCUUAACUAUACGACUUCCGGGUAGACUGCUAAACUUGAGACCGGGAGAGGCUAGAGGUACUCCUGGGGUAGAGGUGAAAUUCUGUAAUCCUAGGGGGACCACCAGUGGCGAAGGCGUCUAGCUAGAACGGGUCUGACGGUGAGGGACGAAGCCCUGGGGCACAAACCGGACUAGAUACCCGGGUAGUCCAGGGUGUAAACGCUGCUUGCUUGAUGUUAGUUGGGCUCCGAGCCCAACUAGUGUCGGAGAGAAGUUGUUAAGCAAGCUGCCUGGGAAGUAUGGUCGCAAGGCUGAAACUUAAAGGAAUUGGCGGGGGAGCACAGCAACGGGUGGAGCGUGCGGUUUAAUUGGAGUCAACGCCGGA